rnacentral:rRNA from 1 species
AGUGAACGCUGGCGGUAGGCCUAACACAUGCCAGUCGAACGGCAGCACAGUAAGAGCUUGCUCUUACGGGUGGCGAGUGGCGGCCGGGUGAGGAAUACAUCGGAAUCUACUUUUUCGUGGGGGUUAACGUAGGGAAACUUACGCUAAUACCGCAUACGACCUACGGGUGAAAGCAGGGGAUCUUCGGACCUUGCGCGAUUGAUUGAGCCGAUGUCGGAUUAGCUAGUUGGCGGGGUCAAGGCGCACCAAGGCGACGGACCGUAGCUGGUAUGAGAGGAUGAUCAGCCACACGGGAACUGAGACACGGUCCAGACUCCUACAGGAGGCAGCAGUGGGGAAUAUUGGACAAUGGGCGCAAGCCUGAUCCAGCCAUACCGCGGGGGUGAAGAAGGCCUUCGGGUUGUAAAGCCCUUUUGUUGUGAAAGAAAAGCAGCAGGUUAAGACCCCGCUGUUCUGACGGUACCCAAAUAAUAAGCACCGGCUAACUUCGUG